AGAAUCAACGCUGGCGGCGUGCCUAACACAUGCAAGUCGAACGAGAAAGUGGAGCAAUCCAUGAGUAAAGUGGCGACCGGGUGAGUAACACGUGACUAACCUACCUUCGAGUGGGGGAUAACCUCGGGAAACCGGGGCUAAUACCGCAUAACAUCUUUGAAGUGGAAAUUUCGGAGAUCAAAGGAGCAAUUCGCUUGAAGAGGGGGUCGCGGCUGAUUAGCUAGUUGGCGGGGUAACGGCCCACCAAGGCUUAGAUCGGUAGCCGGCCUGAGAGGGCGCACGGCCACACUGGAACUGAAACACGGUCCAGACUCCUACGGGAGGCAGCAGUGGGGAAUUUUGCGCAAUGGGGGAAACCCUGACGCAGCAACGCCGCGUGGAGGAUGAAGUCCCUUGGGACGUAAACUCCUUUCGACCCGGACGAUAAUGACGGUACGGGUGGAAGAAGCCCCGGCUAACUUCGCGCCAGCAGCCGC
rnacentral:rRNA from 1 species